rnacentral:rRNA from 1 species
CCUACGGGGGGCAGCAGUGAGGAAUAUUGGUCAAUGGACGAGAGUCUGAACCAGCCAAGUAGCGUGAAGGAUGACUGCCCUAUGGGUUGUAAACUUCUUUUAUAUGGGAAUAAAAUGUUCCACGUGUGGGAUUUUGUAUGUACCAUAUGAAUAAGGAUCGGCUAACUCCGUGCCAGCAGCCGCGGUAAUAGGGAGGAUCCGAGCGUUAUCCGGAUUUAUUGGGUUUAAAGGGAGCGUAGGUGGAUUGUUAAGUCAGUUGUGAAAGUUUGCGGCUCAACCGUAAAAUUGCAGUUGAAACUGGCAGUCUUGAGAACAGAAGAGGUGUGCGGAAUGCGUGGUGUAGCGGGGAAAUGCUUAGAUACCACGAAGAACUCCGAUUGCGAAGGCAGUUCACUGGACUCCAACGGACGCUGAGGCUCGAAAGUGUGGGUAUCAAACAGGAUUAGAUACCCGUGUAGUC